rnacentral:rRNA from 1 species
GGCGGGACACGUGGUAUCCUGUCUGAAUAUGGGGGGACCAUCCUCCAAGGCUAAAUACUCCUGACUGACCGAUAGUGAACCAGUACCGUGAGGGAAAGGCGAAAAGAACCCCGGCGAGGGGAGUGAAAAAGAACCUGAAACCGUGUACGUACAAGCAGUGGGAGCACCCUUUGGGGUGUGACUGCGUACCUUUUGUAUAAUGGGUCAGCGACUUAUAUUCUGUAGCAAGGUUAACCGAAUAGGGGAGCCGGAGGGAAACCGAGUCUUAAUUGGGCGUUAAGUUGCAGGGUAUAGACCCGAAACCCGGUGAUCUAGCCAUGGGCAGGUUGAAGGUUGGGUAACACUAACUGGAGGACCGAACCGACUAAUGUUGAAAAAUUAGCGGAUGACCUGUGGCUGGGGGUGAAAGGCCAAUCAAACCGGGAGAUAGCUGGUUCUCCCCGAAAGCUAUUUAGGUAGCGCCUCGUGAAUUCAUCUCCG